UUCCAUACCAACCAAAAGAUCCCCUAACUCCUUUCCCCUUCAACCAACAGCUAACCAAACGACGCCGCCAUCCCACCCCGUCACGUCACUUCCAUCACCUCGUCAGCACUACCACGCCGUCGGACCGCUGGGUUAACGUGGUCAGCGACGCCACUGGCCUCACAAGUCACCUUUUCUCCCAUCACCCAUCUCCCUUUUUCUUAAAUAAAGCUUGACGACUCGUAAAAAGGUCAAUUGAGACCUCUGAGAACGGGAAAGAGCGAAUCCACAGCCAUCAAACCCAUUUGAAAAGGUUAAAAUCCGUCACUUUUUCUUCAUUUUUCCUCUUUUCGAAGUUUCAGAUUUUUCCCCCUCUUUUGAUUCGAAAUUUAAAGGCAAAUUUCCCUUUGAAGAAGCUGUUGAAACCCUCAGUGUUUACCUAUAAAUACAGGCCUUCCUUGGCUGUUUUGAAAUAAGUUUGAGAGGAGAGAAAAUCCCAUUUAAGUAAACAAGUUUCAAGUGUAGAAAAUCCCCUUUAAGUUAACAAGUUCAAGUGUUAAAAAAUUACCUCUUGAACAAAUGUUUUCACUACUGAAAACUAAGUUUGGAUUUUCAGAAAAUACUAUUCCUAACUCUAAGUUUUUUGGUUGUCGAAAUCCCCUCCUUCGGUUCUCGACUGAGCAAGGACCACUCUGAGCGGAUUCGGAGACUCGACGACGACAAUAGCUUCAGUUUGCUGUCACAAAGAAGGAACCUUGGGAGCAUUUGGAGUUAUGGCAACUUCAGAUUCUGCCCAUAUCAGAGAACAGCCAGUUGCAGGAUUUAAUUGCUCGUGUCUAGCGUCCCCGUCUUCUUUCCUCUCUUUAAAUUUCGUGUCUUCGUGUUAUCAUGUAUAUACAUGUUUAUAGUCUUGACUAACAUUUUUUUAUGGAUUGUAUUUGUAGCACAUUCGUUUCUCGCUUAUGUAGGAACUUAUGGAAAAUAGUUAGUAUGAUGGUAAAUUUAGUCACUACUUUUCCUCUCCCCUUGAAUAAUUAAUCUUGGCUUACGCGUGUUAGAAAUAAUAAUUGCCCAUUUUUUUUUUU